rnacentral:rRNA from 1 species
GCAACAAGUNGGGGAAUUUUUCCGCAAUGGGCGGAAANNCCUGACGGAGCAAUNCCCGCGUGAGGNAAGAAGGCUUUUGGGUUGUAACCCUCUUUUGUCCAGGGAAGAAGAAUUGACGGUACCUGAAGAAAAAGCAUCGGCUAACUCCGUGCCGGCAGCCGCGGUAAUACGGAGGAUGCAAGCGUUAUCCGGAAUCAUUGGGCGUAAAGGGUCCGCAGGUGGCGAAUAGAGUCUGCUGUUAAAGACCGGGGCUUAACUCCGGAAAGGCAGUGGAAACUGAUUAGCUAGAGUNCGGUAGGUGUAGAGGGAAUUCCCAGUGUAGCGGUGAAAUGCGUAGAUAUUGGGAAGAACACCGGUGGCGAAAGCGCUCUANUAGGCCGAAACUGNACACUGAGGGACGAAAGCUAGGGUAGCGAAAGGGAUUAGAUACCCCUGUAGUCUUAGCGGUUGGCGAUGGAUNCUU